CCGCAUCUCCAGAGUUUUUCCCUCUCGCUCGCAUCGGCGAACGGCGGCCUUCUACACUGCGGCGAGCUGACGUGCUCCUGCCUGACUUGACCGCCAGGCACUUGCCCGGAGGUCGCUCAGGCACUACGUCGCUGAUCAUCGAGCCGCCUUCUCCCGUCGUGCGUUCGACGUUGAUGCGGACCAUCUCCGAUCCGUUUCGUGGGUGAAUUGCCGUUGCCGGGCUGCCGGUGUGCGUCUCUGCCGCGUCUGCCCUUCACGGAUCCGUACGAUCCUUGAUUGAGACAGAUUUACUGGUGGAGCCAGCCAAUUUGACAUGUCGAAACAAGUGCUAGCUGGUGAUGGUGAUGUUUUUUUCCCUGGACGUCAUUCAUAUCUGCAAGGAUUCUGCACUGAAGCAGUGAAGCGUU